rnacentral:rRNA from 1 species
GAGCGAGUGGCGAACUGGUGAGUAACACGUGGGUAACCUGCCCCGAAGCGGGGGAUAACAUUUGGAAACAAGUGCUAAUACCGCAUAAUUAGUUGGAACCGCAUGGUUCCAACUUGAAAGAUGGCUCUGCUAUCACUUUGGGAUGGACCCGCGCCGUAUUAGUUAGUUGGUGAGAUAAAAGCCCACCAAGACGAUGAUACGUAGCCGACCUGAGAGGGUAAUCGGCCACAUUGGGACUGAGACACGGCCCAGACUCCUACGGGAGGCAGCAGUAGGGAAUCUUCCACAAUGGACGAAAGUCUGAUGGAGCAACGCCGCGUGAGUGAUGAAGGUUUUCGGAUCGUAAAACUCUGUUGUUAAAGAAGAACAAGUGUUAGAGUAACUGUUAACACUUUGACGGUAUUUAACCAGAAAGCCACGGCUAACUACGUGCC